UCGGGUGUCGUGUAUGGAACACGCUUCCUCCUCUUUUGGAUCCAGGAAGACGCAAUUGUAAGGAGAAAACCGGGUUCGAUUCCCGGCGCCCGAA